UCUUGGGUCCAUAUCAAUCUUAAGUCUAGGGAACUUCCAGGAUCUAGGAGAAUGUAAGGUUUGUAGCUGUUUUAUUAUCAUGUUUUGUCUCAUUAUUUACAUAUUAUUUACUUUAGUAGUUAAUUGUAAUACUUGGGAGACUGAAAUAAAAUUCUGAUUGGUAGAUCCUCAAAUACACUUAGCCCUAGAUGACAAAUGGCACUACUCUGAAGAGAAAUGACAGAACUGAAGAUAGAAGCCCUGGAGGGAGGGGGUUCUAAUAACCAUUAAAAAAAAAAAAGAAAGAAAGAAAGAAAUACUUAGCACUUCUGCUACAAAGAAGCAUCUUGAAUCUCCAUUUGCCUUUCAGAUGUCUUGAAAUGAAUGUCCAGUAAGCACCUUAAACUCAACAUACUCACAACUGAACUCUUCUUUUCCCCUAACCCUUACUUUUCCUUACCUUCCCUACUACUGUAAAAGGCAUCACUAUCCUUCCAGUCCCUCAAGCUCCCAACCUCGAAGUCAUCCUCAACUCCUCACUAUCUCUCACUCCAUCUCAUAUCCAAUCUGUUGUCAAAGCUUCGAUUUCACCUUUGCAGCAUCUCUGGAAGAUACUGCUUUCUCUCCUCUAACAUUGCUACCAUUUUGGAACAGGUCCUUACCUCAUUCCUGGCACUAAUUUAAUAGGCUGCUGAUAGGUUUGUCUUCCUCAUAUCUCUUCCCAUUCCAAUCCAUUCAGCCACUAAAUCGAUUUUCCUAAAGUUCAGAUUUAACUGAGUCAUUUCUUUUAUUCAAUAAGCUCCAAUAGCUCCCUGUUACCUCUAGGAUCAAAUACAAAAUGUUCUGUUUUCAUUCAAAGUCCUUCAUAACCUCCUAUCUUUCCAACCUUCUUACAACUUAUUCCUUGACUCAUAUUCUUUAAUCUAUUGCAUUGGCUUCCCUCCUGGCUGUUCCACAAACACUCCAUCUCUCAGCUCCAGGCAUUUUCUCUUACUGUCCCCCACUGGAACACUUUCCCUCCUCCACUUUGAACCCCUGGUUUCCUUUGAAUCAUAGCUAAAAUCCCAUUCUCUACAGAGAGCCUUCCCCAAUUCUUUUUAAUUCCAGUGCCUUCCCUCUAUUAAUUAUUUCAUAUUUAUCAUAUAUAUGUGUGUGUGUGUGUGUAUGUAUAUAUAUGUAAAACUUGGUAAGUAUAUAUUUAUUUGCAUGUUAGAUUGUAAGUUCCCAGCACUGAACCUCAUUUCUUAUGUAGUCUUAAUCACUAAGUGGGUGUUGCCUCAGUCAAACUGAGACCUGUUGAAACUUAAAAAGCUCAAGGAGUCCAACAGCAUCUAGGGCUAUUUCUAGUCUCGGACUAUAUCUUGCCAUUGGACCCACAUGGCUCUGGAGGAGGAAGUAAGAUUGGUGACUUUGCACAGCCCUCACAUGCAUGUUAUGGUAUUAUGUCCCUAAUGUCUGGACCUCUUCAUAAACACUAUGUAACACAGUGACUGUCAUAUAGUAGGUGCUUAAUAAAUGCUUAUUGAUAUGAAAACUGCAGGUGUGAACAUUUGAUGCCCCAUCAAGUGGCUAUGUUAUCAACAGGUGAUCAAACAAGCCAGAGUAAAUCUAAUAAGAAAUUUCCUAAUGGGACUAGAGAAAAGGGAGUGAAGUUGAAAAUUAAGAGAUUAUCUCUGGAUUUCAGUUCCCUAAUUUGUAAAAUGAAGAUUUUGGACUACAUACUCUUUAAGCAAGAAAGAACAAUGGAAUCAGAGGACAGACUCUGACCAGCUCUGCUGCUGACUUUGUAAAAGAUCAUGAACAGAUCAGUCUCUUUCUCUGGGCUUCAUCUAUAAUAAGGGCACAGGACUAGAUUGUUUCUGAAGUCCCAUCCAACUGUAUAAAUGAUUCUUACAGUUCUAAAGCUAUGAUAAGCAUCUGUGAUUAUGUGUGAAGGGAGGGUCAGAGGAAAAUAAAGGAGGGAUGGUUACAUAUUUCCCUGCCAUCUAUUCAGGAUAGGAUACCUAGGUAGCCUAUCCUAUCAAGUAUAUCCUAUUGAUAUCCUAUCAAGUAUAAUCAGUAUUAUUGUUGAGAAGGAGGAAGAGGAGGACACAGUACAAAGCCAAGCUCAGGGGCCAGAAGUGAGAUAAAAGCCUUCCACAGUCUCUGAAAGUUGUCCUUCCUUCAGUCCCACCCUUCAAGGCCCAUGAGCAAGCACCUUUCCUGGAACUCAGCAGAGAAGGGAGCCCCUCCCUAUCCAGCCUUGGCACCUGUCUGGGUACAGCAUGUCCCCUGGGGCAUCCUGCAGACACCCCAGCAGGCCUAGGUGUACCAUAGGGCAGUUUCUUCCUCCUUAACUCUCCAUGUGUGUCCUUGGCCUUGCUUUUGGCAACUGAAAGUCUCCUCUCUAGCAGCUAGCUUCUUACCCCCUUGUUAUGCUCAGAAUGGUUCUGUCCUUCUGCCAGACCACAGAGAAUUCCGGGGGCUAAGGGUGAGAGGAGGAGGGAGGUGACAACACGAAUGUCCUUUGGGGCGUCACAAUUCCUAGGCUCUUCACAUACUUUUGGGAAGGACCAUAGUGUCUCAGCUCUUCAACACCCCUCUCCCUCUUUGUCCCCUCUAGGAGAAUCCAUAAGCUUCUGUGACCUAGGGAGAGGCAAAACCUCUAGACCAAGUAGAAUCAGAAGACCAGAGGAGUGAGGAGAUACGGUGGGAAGGUCUCCUGCACUGGGAUUCUUUUCCUUUUUUCAGGCCCAAAUAAACACAGUCUGGCCCAUCCCCUCACUCAGAGAAACCCCUUUCUUAUGCCCUCUCUGUACCUUUUUCUCUUGUCCCAAAAUAGGAACAGUGUGCUCCUAGUCUGCCCACUGCCCUGCAUUACCUUCUCCUCCCAAGCCCAGCCUAACUCUGACUGACGCAGGUAGCCCCAAAUCUGUGCUGUCCCUAUUGGGGGUGUGUGUGUGAGGGGGUGGGGGGCUGGGGGCGAUGCCCCGAACUUCUUUGUUUUCCAGGCUGGGCGCGGGACCGUCUCUUUUCAGGUACAUGCCUGAGGGGUCUGUAGGUACACACUCUCCCAGCACGAGAAUUUGGGCCGGGGGCGGGGGAGUGGGAGGGGGGAGAGGGAGAGGGAGGAAGAGACAGGGUGUGAGGGGAGGAAGCGGGGGAGUGGGGGGGAGAGGACUGUCCUCUGGGCGGGGAGCGAGCCUCGCGGAGGAGGGAGAUGGGGGUUCCGACGGUCGGGCCUCCGAGGAAGUGCCGGCGGACAGCGCCGGCGAGGCUCCCGGGGGCCCAGGAACUUGCACCCCUCGGCCCCGCCUGUAACUGCCGUGUGUGUGUCGGGUCUCCGAGCCCGGCUGACCGCAGGCUGCAGGAGCGGUUUAUCUGCCUUUCUUAGGAGCAUGGGAACUUCCAUGAAGAAUCCUAGACAAUGAAGUCUGAGGUUCAACAAGCUCUUUUUAAAUCACCCCUGAAAGAUAUGCUUCAGAAAUCACUAUUGACAGGGAAAUAAGAAGAAUCCACCCAAUAUACUGAUGGAUCACUGGGUAAAUCCAAUAUGGAGAAUUAAUAGGAGGACAUGAUCAAGAGUUCCACAAGAUGAACAAGCAUGGUAAAAGCUAAGCUGAAAAUCUAGUUUUGAUGGAAGUCAUCCUAUUCUCUUCAGCUGUUUGAUACCCCUCCCUCCCAUAGAUUAUUUACAUUAUAUGAAAUUUAAAAGCAUUAGCAAAAUCAAUGCAACUAGACAAGAAACGAAGUAGUCGAUUGGAAAAAUACAUAUGUAUCAAAAAACUCUAAUAAGAGUCUGAUUUCUAAAUUUUAUGUGUGUAUGAAUAUUUGUAUAUGUGUACAACAUGAAUGUGCAUACUUAUCUAUAUAAUCCCCACAUAUAUUUAUAUAUAAACACAUACAUACAUACAUAUAUGUGCAUAUACAUCCAUAGAUAGACAUAUUUAUAGAUAUAUAGUAUAAGAUACAUAACACCAGAUGCCAUUCCCCCCAAAAAUGAAAGAUCAAAAAGGAUAUAAACACUUUUCAAAAAAAGAAUUGCAAGACCCUGGGCACAUUACUUAACCCCAAUUGCCUCAGCAAGAAAAAAAAAAAUCCAAGCUAUUAAUAACCAAACGAAAGACUGCUCUAAAUCAUGAAUAAUAUGAAAAAAGUAUAUCAAAACAACUCUGAAGCUUCAUAUCACAUUCAACAAUUGGUAAAA